AUGCAGUCGACGGUGACACGGAGCUUGCUCUGUGGGAUCAGUGGCGAACGGGUGAGUAACACGUGAGCAACCUGCCCCUGACUCUGGGAUAAGCGCUGGAAACGGCGUCUAAUACUGGAUAUGUGACGUGACCGCAUGGUCUGCGUCUGGAAAGAAUUUCGGUUGGGGAUGGGCUCGCGGCCUAUCAGCUUGUUGGUGAGGUAAUGGCUCACCAAGGCGUCGACGGGUAGCCGGCCUGAGAGGGUGACCGGCCACACUGGGACUGAGACACGGCCCAGACUCCUACGGGAGGCAGCAGUGGGGAAUAUUGCACAAUGGGCGCAAGCCUGAUGCAGCAACGCCGCGUGAGGGAUGACGGCCUUCGGGUUGUAAACCUCUUUUAGCAGGGAAGAAGCGAAAGUGACGGUACCUGCAGAAAAAGCGCCGGCUAACUACGUGCCAGCAGCCGCGGUAAUACGUAGGGCGCAAGCGUUAUCCGGAAUUAUUGGGCGUAAAGAGCUCGUAGGCGGUUUGUCGCGUCUGCUGUGAAAUCCGGAGGCUCAACCUCCGGCCUGCAGUGGGUACGGGCAGACUAGAGUGCGGUAGGGGAGAUUGGAAUUYCUGGUGUAGCGGUGGAAUGCGCAGAUAUCAGGAGGAACACCGAUGGCGAAGGCAGAUCUCUGGGCCGUAACUGACGCUGAGGAGCGAAAGGGUGGGGAGCAAACAGCUUAGAUACYCUGGUAGUCCACCCCGUAAACGUUGGGAACUAGUUGUGGGGUCCAUUCCACGGAUUCCGUGACGCAGCUAACGCAUUAAGUUCCCCCGCCUGGGGGAGUACGGCGCAGCUAAACUCAAAGGAAUGACGGGACCCGCACAGCGC
rnacentral:rRNA from 1 species